AUGCUCUCACACUCAGCUAAAACCUCACCCGCAUCCUCACACUCUUUCCUGCAACACCUGCUACCCUGCCUGCACUGACACAGCCUUCCCAAAUGCAACUGUCUCCUACCUGCCACAGCCACUCACACAGCUAACUGCCACGGCCUGGGCAGCUCCUGCGCUUGGGGGAUACAACUGACAGUGCCUGCUCCUCAAGCACCUCCGCUGUCUGACCAGCAUUAUCCCAUUUCUCUGCUCUCAAAAUCCAAAUGCAUAAAAAGGAAACACAGCCACUACAAAGGCAACCACGGUCUAUCCAUCCCUCCCCCCCAAAAAACGCCUGGCGCAACCUACCUGGGAGCUGCUGCCUGAGCUCGACCACUCCAUCRCCUGGGCUGGCCUGGCUGAUGCCAGCCCAGCUCUCUUCACYGCCUGCAAAACAAAACGAGGCAUUUCUAGACAAAGGCAGACACAAAGACACACCAAGAGACACUGCCUCUUCUGUCCCGCCUCCUGACGCAUGCCAAGGCCACCAAAGACAUUCCCAGGCUGCCCCCAACAAAGUCUCUUCUACUUGGCCCCGCUCUGUGCCCAACCAAAGGCACACAUUUGUGCCCCAUUCUGUGCUCAAAGGCACACAUCCUUGCCCCAUUCUGUGCCUAAAAAAAGGCACACAAGGCACACAUUUCUGACCCAUUCUGUGCUCAAACAAAGGCACACCAGGCACACAUUUGUGCUCCAUUUUGUUCCCCUCAAAAAAACCAAGGCACACAUUUGUGCUCCUUUGUAUGCCCCAAAAAAAGGAAAACAAGGCACACAUUUGUGCCCAAUGUGUGUCCUACCAAAAGACAUACAAGGCACCCCUUUGUGCCCCAUUGUAUUCUCAACCAAAGGCACACAAAGCACACAUUUCUGCCCCAUUCUGGGCCAAACCAAAAGGAACACAAGGCACGCAAUUGUGCCCCAUUAUGUGCACAACCAAAAGGCACAAAAAGCUCACAUUUGUGCCCCAUUCUGUGCCCAACAAAAUGCACACAGUUGUGCCCCAUUACGUGCACAACCAAAGGCACACAUUUGUGCCCCCUUGUGU
rnacentral:lncRNA from 1 species